GACGAACGCUGGCGGCGUGCCUAACACAUGCAAGUCGAGCGGAGACAGGGAGUAGCUUGCUAUGAGCUGUUUUAGCGGCGGACGGGUGAGUAACGCGUGAGCAACCUUUCCCAGACAGGGGAAUAACACACCGAAAGGUGUACUAAUACCGCAUAAGACCACGGGAUCACAUGGUUCUGGGGUAAAAGAUUUAUCGGUUUGGGGUGGGCUCGCGUCCGAUUAGGUAGUUGGUGAGGUAACGGCCCACCAAGCCGACGAUCGGUAGCCGACCUGAGAGGGUGAUCGGCCACAUUGGGACUGAGACACGGCCCAAACUCCUACGGGAGGCAGCAGUGGGGAAUAUUGGGCAAUGGAGGAAACUCUGACCCAGCAACGCCGCGUGGAGGAAGAAGGUUUUCGGAUCGUAAACUCCUGUCCUUGGAGACGAGUAGAAGACG
rnacentral:rRNA from 1 species